rnacentral:rRNA from 1 species
GCGCGCCCUUCGGGGUGAGCGGCGGACGGGUUAGUAACGCGUGGGAACGUGCCCAGAUCUAAGGAAUAGCCACUGGAAACGGUGAGUAAUACCUUAUACGCCCUUCGGGGGAAAGAUUUAUCGGAUUUGGAUCGGCCCGCGUUAGAUUAGGUAGUUGGUGGGGUAAUGGCCUACCAAGCCUACGAUCUAUAGCUGGUUUUAGAGGAUGAUCAGCAACACUGGGACUGAGACACGGCCCAGACUCCUACGGGAGGCAGCAGUGGGGAAUCUUGGACAAUGGGGGCAACCCUGAUCCAGCCAUGCCGCGUGAGUGAUGAAGGCCUUAGGGUCGUAAAGCUCUUUCGCCUGUGAUGAUAAUGACAGUAGCAGGUAAAGAAACCCCGGCUAACUCCGUGCCAGCAGCCGCGGUAAUACGGAGGGGGUUAGCGUUGUUCGGAAUUACUGGGCGUAAAGCGCGCGUAGGCGGAUUAGUCAGUUAGAGGUGAAAUCCCAGGGCUCAACCCUGGAACCGCCUUUAAUACUGCUAGUCUUGAGUUCGAGAGAGGUGAGUGGAAUUCCGAGUGUAGAGGUGAAAUUCGUAGAUAUUCGGAGGAACACCAGUGGCGAAGGCGGCUCACUGGCUCGAUACUGACGCUGAGGUGCGAAAGUGUGGGGAGCAAACAGGAUUAGA